rnacentral:rRNA from 1 species
UACAGAGGUCUCAAGCGUUGUUCGGAUUCAUUGGGCGUAAAGGGUGUGUAGGUGGCGCCGUAAGUCGGGUGUGAAAUUUCGGAGCUUAACUCCGAAACUGCAUUCGAUACUGCGGUGCUUGAGGACUGGAGAGGAGACUGGAAUUCAUGGUGUAGCAGUGAAAUGCGUAGAGAUCAUGAGGAAGACCAGUGGCGAAGGCGGGUCUCUGGACAGUUCCUGACACUGAGACACGAAGGCCCAGGGGGAGCAAAACGGGG